AACGAACGCUGGCGGCAGGCCUAACACAUGCAAGUCGAGCGAAGCCUUCGGGCUUAGCGGCGGACGGGUGAGUAACGCGUGGGAACGUGCCCUUUGGUACGGAAUAGCCCCGGGAAACUGGGAGUAAUACCGUAUGUGGUCGAGAGACGAAAGAUUUAUCGCCAAAGGAUCGGCCCGCGUUGGAUUAGGUAGUUGGUGGGGUAAUGGCCUACCAAGCCGACGAUCCAUAGCUGGUUUGAGAGGAUGAUCAGCCACACUGGGACUGAGACACGGCCCAGACUCCUACGGGAGGCAGCAGUGGGGAAUUUUAGACAAUGGGGGAAACCCUGAUCUAGCCAUGCCGCGUGAUCGAUGAAGGCCUUAGGGUUGUAAAGAUCUUUCAGUGGGGAAGAUAAUGACUGUACCUACAGAAGAAGCCCCGGCUAACUCCGUGCCAGCCGCCGCAGUAAGAC
rnacentral:rRNA from 1 species